ensembl:lncRNA
CAAGAACAUUCUGCAGAAUGCAGUGAAAAAGAAUACCCACAGACAAGGCACGGGUGGUGGGUCACCAAAGGCUGACCUUACCCCAGCAGAGGACAUGGCCUUGGAGCUAAAUAAAGGCAGGCCCGUUUUAGAGGGGAUCCCUGGGGGAAAGAGACGAGCAUAGGUUCCUCCCAAGAUGCCACCCGCUUCAUUCAAGUGUCUGGCAGCACUGUGUUCCUGUUAGAGCCACCAGCACAAGCACCAGACGAUGCUGAUCCAGGUGAAGGCCCCAGUGCAGCAGCAACAGCACAUGAUGGAGACGAUGAUGAGGAGGAGACCAUCUCUCUGGAUUCCAGAAGGCAUGAGGACCCAGAUGCUAUACAGUGGGAAAACCAGCCUGGCAACAUAGUGCGUAUUAAUAAAAGGACACCACAUCCUGCCAAAUUCCAGCUGCGCUAAUUGUAUUGUGUUCACAGAGCUCACAAGCUAUCAG